rnacentral:rRNA from 1 species
CGGUAAUUCCAGCUCCAAUAGCGUAUACUAACGUUGUUGCAGUUAAAAAGCUCGUAGUUGGAUUUCUUUCAUUCUCUCGCUUGGCCGGCCCUUCAAGGAUCGGACAGCGAAAGGUGAAAAAAUUUGUCUUAAUGCAUGCGUCUACUUAACUGUGGACGUAGGUUGAAAGACUCGUUUACUUUGAGAAAAUUAGAGUGUUCAAAGCAGGCGUUUGCCUUGAAUAUGUUAGCAUGGAAUAAUAGCAUAGGACUUCGGUUCUAUUUGUUGGUUAUUCACGAAACGAAGUAAUGAUUGAUAGGGACGGUUGGGGGCAUCCGUAUUCUCAAGCGAGAGGUGAAAUUCUUGGACCUUGGGAAGACGAACAGCUGCGAAAGCGUUUGCCUAGGACGUUCUCUUUAAUCAAGAACGAAAGUUGGGGGAUCGAAGACGAUCAGAUACCGUCGUAGUCUCAACUAUAAACUAUGCCAGCUAGGGAUCGGCGGAUAUAUUUUUAUGUCGUCGGCACCUUACGAGAAAUCAAAGCAUUUGGGUUCCGGGGGGAGUAUGGUCGCAAGGCUGAAACUUAAAGGAAUUGACGGAAGGGCACCACCAGGAGUGGAGCCUGUGGCUUAAUUUGACUCAACACGGGAAAACUUACCAGGUCCGGACAUAGUAAGGAUUGACAGAUUGAAAGCUCUCUCUUGAUUCUAUGGGUGGUGGUGCAUGGCCGUUCUUAGUUGGUGGAGUGAUUUGUCUGGUUAAUUCCGUUAACGAACGAGACCCGCGCCUGCUAAAUAGUCGAACGCUCCUCGGAGUGAUUUGCACUUCUUAGAGGGACCAUCUGUGGCUCACCGGAAGGAAGUUGCGGGCAAUAACAGGUCUGUGAUGCCCUUAGAUGUUCUGGGCUGCACACGGGCUACACUGGAGGGUACAACGAGCGUCAUUCCAUGCAUACCCGAAAGGGUUUGCCAAUCUUUGAAUACCCUCCGUGAUUGGGAUAGACCAUUGCAAUUUUUGGUCUUCAACGAGGAAUUCCUAGUAAACGCGCGUCAACAACGCGCAUUGAUUACGUCCCUGCCCUUUGUACACACCGCCCGUCGCUCCUACCGAUUGGAUGUUCUGAUGAGCUAUUUGGAGGCUAAGUUGGGAGCGGGUCAAACCGUGACCGCAAGCCAAAAUUUCGCAAAUCCGAAUAUCUAGAGGAAGGAGAAGUCGUAACAAGGUAACC